rnacentral:rRNA from 1 species
UAUCUUAUAGUAUGUUAACUUGGCAUCAAGAUAACAUUAAAGGUUACGGUAAGAGAUGACUAUGCGUCCUAUUAGCUAGAUGGUGUGGUAACGGCACACCAUGGCAACGAUAGGUAGGGGCCCUGAGAGGGGGAUCCCCCACACUGGUACUGAGACACGGACCAGACUCCUACGGGAGGCAGCAGUGAGGAAUAUUGGACAAUGGAGGCAACUCUGAUCCAGCCAUGCCGCGUGCAGGAAGACUGCCCUAUGGGUUGUAAACUGCUUUUAUACAGGAAGAAACACUCUCACGUGUGAGAGCUUGACGGUACUGUAAGAAUAAGGAUCGGCUAACUCCGUGCCAGCAGCCGCGGUAAUACGGAGGAUCCAAGCGUUAUCCGGAAUCAUUGGGUUUAAAGGGUCCGUAGGUGGAUAAUUAAGUCAGAGGUGAAAUCCUGCAGCUCAACUGUAGAAUUGCCUUUGAUACUGGUUGUCUUGAGUUAUUAUGAAGUAGUUAGAAUAUGUAGUGUAGCGGUGAAAUGCAUAGAUAUUACAUAGAAUACCAAUUGCGAAGGCAGAUUACUAAUAAUAUACUGACACUGAUGGACGAAAGCGUGGGGAGCGAACAGGAUUAGAUACCCUGGUAGUCCACGCCGUAAACGAUGGUCACUAGCUGUUCGAACUUAGGUUUGAGUGGCUAAGCGAAAGUGAUAAGUGACCCACCUGGGGAGUACGUUCGCAAGAAUGAAACUCAAAGGAAUUGACGGGGGCCCGCACAAGCGGUGGAGCAUGUGGUUUAAUUCGAUGAUACGCGAGGAACCUUACCAGGGCUUAAAUGUAAAUUGACAGGUUUAGAAAUAGACUUUUCUUCGGACAAUUUACAAGGUGCUGCAUGGUUGUCGUCAGCUCGUGCCGUGAGGUGUCAGGUUAAGUCCUAUAACGAGCGCAACCCCUGUUGUUAGUUGCCAGCGAGUCAUGUCGGGAACUCUAACAAGACUGCCAGUGCAAACUGUGAGGAAGGUGGGGAUGACGUCAAAUCAUCACGGCCCUUACGUCCU